rnacentral:rRNA from 1 species
UAUGAAGUUAGCGGCGGACGGGUGAGUAACACGUGGGUAACCUGCCCAUAAGACUGGGAUAACUCCGGGAAACCGGGGCUAAUACCGGAUAACAUUUUGAACCGCAUGGUUCGAAAUUGAAAGGCGGCUUCGUCUGACACUUAUGGAUGGACCCGCGUCGCAUUAGCUAGUUGGUGAGAUAACGGCUCACCAACGCAACGAUGCGUAGCCGACCUGAGAGGGUGAUCGGCCACACUGGGACUGAGACACGCCCCAGACUCCUACGGGAGGCAGCAGUAGGAAAUCUUCCGCAAUGCACGAAAGUCUGACGGAGCAACGCCGCGAGAGUGAUGAAGUCUUUCGGGUCGUAAAACUCUGUUGUUAGGGAAAAACAAGUGCUAUUUGAAUAAGCUGGCACCUUGACGGUACCUACCCAGAAACCCACGGCUAACUACGUGCCAACAGCCGCGGAAAUACGCAGGUGGCGAGCGUUAUCCGAAAUUAUUGCGCGUAAAGCGCGCGCAGGUGUUUUCUUAAGUCUGAUGUGAAAGCCCAGGGCUCAACCGUGGAGGGUCAUUGGAAACUGGGAGACUUGAGUGCAGAAGAGGAAAGUGGAAUUCCAUGUGUAGCGGU